CCCAUCUGAUCAGCUCCAAAUCUGUGGAGU
rnacentral:piRNA from 1 species